rnacentral:rRNA from 1 species
UGGGGAAUCUUGGACAAUGGGGGCAACCCUGAUCCAGCCAUGCCGCGUGAGUGAUGAAGGCCUUAGGGUCGUAAAGCUCUUUCGCCUGUGAAGAUAAUGACGGUAGCAGGUAAAGAAACUCCGGCUAACUCCGUGCCAGCAGCCGCGGUAAUACGGAGGGGGUUAGCGUUGUUCGGAAUUACUGGGCGUAAAGCGCACGUAGGCGGACCAGAAAGUUGGGGGUGAAAUCCCGGGGGCUCAACCCCGGAACUGCCUCCAAAACUAUUGGUCUAGAGUUCGAGAGAGGUGAGUGGAAUUCCAAGUGUAGAGGUGAAAUUCGUAGAUAUUUGGAGGAACACCAGUGGCGAAGGCGGCUCACUGGCUCGAUACUGACGCUGAGGUGCGAAAGUGUGGGGAGCAAACAGGAUUAGAUACCCUGGUAGUCCACACCGUAAAACGAUGAAUGCCAGUCGUCGGGUAGCAUGCUAUUCGGUGACACACCUAACGGAUUAAGCAUUCCGGCC